AAGACAAUGAAAAACAUUCGAAAAAAUUUCCAAGGCCAUGAUGGAGAAAGGCACACACCAAGGACUCAGUGCAGUGCAGAGUGAAAGUGAAGGACUUAGACAAGCCUACCAGA